rnacentral:rRNA from 1 species
CCUACGGGUGGCAGCAGUAGGGAAUAUUGCUCAAUGGGGGAAACCCUGAAGCAGCAACGCCGCGUGGAGGAUGAAGGUUUUCGGAUUGUAAACCCCUUUUGUUAGAGAAGAUAAUGACGGUAUCUAACGAAUAAGCACCGGCUAACUCCGUGCCAGCAGCCGCGGUAAUACGGCGGGUGCAAGCGUUACUCGGAAUCACUGGGCGUAAAGAGCGCGUAGGCGGGAUAGCAAGUCAGAUGUGAAAUCCUAUGGCUUAACCAUAGAACUGCAUUGGAUACUGUUAGUCUAGAGUAUGGGAGAGGUAGGUGGAAUUCGUGGUGUAGGGGUAAAAUGCGUAGAGAUCAAGAGGAAUACUCAUUGCGAAGGCGACCUGCUAGAACGUAACUGACGCUGAUGCGCGAAAGCGUGGGGAGCAAACAGGAUUAGAUACCCCGGUAGUC